GACAGAGGGGGCAAGCGUUGCUCGGAAUUACUGGGCGUAAAGCGUGCGCAGGCGGUUAUGCAAGACAGAUGUGAAAUCCCCGGGCUUAACCUGGGAACCGCAUUUGUGACUGCAUAGCUGGAGUACGGCAGAGGGGGAUGGAAUUCCGCGUGUAGCAGUGAAAUGCGUAGAUAUGCGGAGGAACACCGAUGGCGAAGGCAGUCCCCUGGGCCUGUACUGACGCUCAUGCACGAAAGCGUGGGGAGCAAACAGG
rnacentral:rRNA from 1 species